rnacentral:rRNA from 1 species
CGUAGGUGACAAGCGUUGUCCGGAUUAUUGGGCGUAAGGGAGCGCAGGCGGUCUGUUAGUCUAAUGUGAAAGCCCACGGCUUAACCGUGGAACGGCAUUGGAAACUGACAGACUUGAAUGUAGAAGAGGAAAUGGAAUUCCAAGUGUAGCGGUGGAAUGCGUAGAUAUUUGGAGGAACACCAGUGGCGAAGGCGAUUUUCUGGUCUAACAUUGACGCUGAGGCUCGAAAGCGUGGGGAGCGAACAGGAUU